AUUUCCCCGGUGCGGCGGCGAGCGGCGGCGGGUGGCGGCGGUCGGCCUCUGGUUCGUCUUCUCCGGCGAGCGGCUGGCGGCUAGGGUUUGUGGUCUGGUGUGGGGGUUCUAUUUAUAACCCCUUGCCUUUUGAUCACAGCCGUUCAUUUUGUUUUAAUCUGGGCCGUUCGUUUUUGAUUGAAUCUGGGCCGUCCGUGCGAUUGAAUCUGGGCCGUCCGAUCGCGUGAUUGAUCUGGGCCGUCGGAUCGCACCCACGCGGAUCGCCAACGUGGCUCCUUUCGGAGUGACGCGAUCUUGCCACGUGUCAGGCCCUGGUUGGCCGGGACUGCUGACGUGGCUGCUGACGCGGCUGCUGACGUGGCCCCCCCCCCUUUUUUUUUUUUUUUUUUUUUUUUUUUUUUUUUUUUUUUUUUUUUUUUUUUUUUUUUUUUUUCCUCCUCCUUUCCGGGUGCUAC
rnacentral:lncRNA from 1 species